AUGAUGGAUAGGCCAAGUACUUCUAUCAACCCACUCUUCAUGGAGCAAGACGACGACAUGAACUCCUUCGUCACCAAGAGUCACCUCUUUGGUGCACAACGUGCUUUGCAUCAAGAGCAACAAGCUAUGAGUGAUUGCAUCGACAACCUUGCCGCCGACUUGCGACUUUUCGAGAAACGUACAAGGGACUACUUCGACCACAAGCUCGACGAUCACAAGCAAGAGAAUGAUGCAAGGAUGGACAAAAUUCAUGCUUUGUUGCUCGACCACUCGUCUUCCACUUCAAGAAUGAGCCGUUCAAGCCACCACUCCGACUUCACCCUCUCCGACUCAAGUACACCGUCUUCAAACACUCUUCAUCGAGCCGCGCGUACCGACCGUCAAGCAAGCCUCAAUCCACUUCGAGACACCGACUCCCAAGAGCAUCGCCGACGUCAAACCCAAGAAGCCUUUGCGCUAGCACGAGAAUGGCAACGACAACGCCAACAUGAAGAGGAAGAAUGUGCACGUCUACACCAACAUGCACAAGAUGCUGAGACACAACAUCAAGAACAAUAA
rnacentral:rRNA from 1 species